GGAGGGUGCGAGCGUUAAUCGGAAUUACUGGGCGUAAAGCGCGCGUAGGCGGUCUGAUCAGUCGGAUGUGAAAGCCCUGGGCUUAACCUGGGAAUUGCACUCGAUACUGUCAGGCUAGAGUAUGGGAGAGGGAAGUGGAAUUUCCGGUGUAGCGGUGAAAUGCGUAGAUAUCGGAAGGAACACCAGUGGCGAAGGCGACUUCCUGGCCCAAUACUGACGCUGAGGUGCGAAAGCGUGGGGUAGCGAACAGGAUUAGAUACCCUGGUAGUCCACGCCGUAAACGAUGAGAACUAGAUGUCGGGAGGAUUACCCUCUCGGUGUCGCAGCUAACGCGUUAAGUUCUCCGCCUGGGAGUACGCCGGCAACGGUA
rnacentral:rRNA from 1 species